rnacentral:tRNA from 1 species
AUCUAAAUAGUUUAAGUAAAAAAUUUUGAUUUGUGGGGUCAACGAUAUAUGUUUAGUAUUUUGGAUA